rnacentral:rRNA from 1 species
UGAGGGAUAUUGGUCAAUGGGCGCAAGCCUGAACCAGCGACGCCGCGUGGGUGAAGAAAGUCUUCGGAUCGUAAAGCCCUUUUCCCACUGAAGAGGAAGGACGGUAGGUGGGGAAGAAGUCUCGGCUAACUACGUGCCAGCAGCCGCGGUAAAACGUAGGAGCCAAGCGUUAUCCGGAGUUACUGGGCGUAAAGGGCGUGCAGGUGGCGUCUUAAGUCUGUUGUGAAAGCGCCUGGCUUAACCGGGCGAGGCCAAUGGAGACUGAGAGGCUGGAGGACGGCGGAGGGGUGUGGAAUUCCGGGUGUAGUGGUGAAAUGCGUAGAGAUCCGGAGGAACACCAGAGGCGAAGGCGGCACUCUAAGCCGUACCUGACACUGAGACGCGACAGCACGGGGAGCAAACG